AGCUCGGCUCCUCCUGUGAAAUACUCAGCAACUGCAUCUCCGGACUCCCAGAGCUCGGUGGUCCCCGAGGCUGUGGGACUCUCUCCAGCAAGUCAGCACCUGAGGAUCCCUGGUCCAAGCUUCAUGCCUCUAAAUCUGAGAGCCCAGAAGAAAAGCCUGGAGCCAUACACUCACCUGGCUGAAGCCAUAAAGAGCUGAGAAAUCUGUCUUCAGCCAUUUGUUGAUCUUCUUGAACGGGCACUGCAGGUGCACAGAAGUCACCCUAAAGGAGGUUUUGAAUGAAAUCUUAAAUAAUGCCAGUCGGCAUCGUGGAGUGAAAGCAACACGGACCCUGUGAAGAUGCCACUGGGGUGUGUUGGCCCUUCCUCUGCUGAGAUCUCCCCCAGACCUGAGUUCCUUAUCCAGAAC